AGUGAACGCUGGCGGCAGGCCUAACACAUGCAAGUCGAGCGGCAGCGCGGGGGCAACCCUGGCGGCGAGCGGCGGACGGGUGAGGAAUUCGUCGGAAUCUGCCUUUUUGUGGGGGAUAACGUAGGGAAACUUACGCUAAUACCGCAUACGUCCUACGGGAGAAAGUGGGGGACCGCAAGGCCUUACGCAGAAAGAUGAGCCGACGACCGAUUAGCUAGUUGGUGGGGUAAAGGCCCACCAAGGCGACGAUCGGUAGCUGGUCUGAGAGGGUGAUCAGCCGCACUAGGACUGAAACAGGGCCCAGACUCCUACGGGAGGCAGCAGUGGGGAAUAUUGGACAAUGGGCGCAAGCCUGGUCCAGCCAUGCCGCGUGUGUGAAGAAGGCCUUCGGGUUGUAAAGCACUUUUGUCCGGAAAGAAAUCCCUGGAGCUAAUACCGUCGGGGGAUGACGGUACCGGAAGAAUAAGCACCGGCUAACUUCGUG
rnacentral:rRNA from 1 species